rnacentral:lncRNA from 1 species
CCUGGGGUCAAGUGACUCGCCCACCUUGGCCUUCCAAAGUGCUGAGAUGGCAGAUGUGAGCCACAGUGUCAGGGUGUGCUCUUGGCUCUUGUUUAUUAAAAGUCUGUUGCCGGGCACGGUGGCUCACGCCUGUAAAUCGCAGCACUUUGGGAGGCCGAGGCGAGUGAUCACGAGGUCAGGAGAUCAAGACCAUCCUGGCUAACACGGUGAAACCCCGUCUCUACUAGGUGUAGUAUAGAUUGAAGUCAGGUAAUGUAAUGCCUCCAGAUUUGUUCUUUCUGCUUAGUCUUGGUUUGGCUAUGUGGGCUCUUUUUUGGUUCUAUAUGAAUUUUAGGAUUACCAGGAGACACCAGGUGCAGCAGCAGCUUCGGGAUAACUUGAGGAUGCAUCCUGGGGAAGAGACACCUCCUGUCCAUGGCGCUGACUACUGAGGACAGCUUCGGUGUGGCUUUUCUGCGGCCGGCUUCUUUGAGGCCUUUUUCUUUCAUGAUGGUAGAGAGCAGUCUACAGCCUGAGACCCAUCACAAGGUA